AACGAACGCUGGCGGCGCGCUUAACACAUGCAAGUCGAACGAGAGGGCGUAGCAAUACGCUUGUACAGUGGCGAACGGGUGAGUAAUACGUGGGCGACCUACCCUCGAGUGGGGAAUAACCCGCCGAAAGGCGGGCUAAUGCCGCGUACGCUUCCAUCUUUAUGGAGGUGGAAGGAAAGCCGUGCCGUGGGCACGGCGCUCAAGGAUGGGCUCACGUCCUAUCAGCUUGUUGGUAGGGAACGGCCUACCAAGGCUCCGACGGGUAGCUGGUCUGAGAGGACGAUCAGCCACACUGGGACUGAGACACGGCCCAGACUCCUACGGGAGGCAGCAGUGGGGAAUCUUGCGCAAUGGGCGAAAGCCUGACGCAGCAACGCCGCGUGGGGGAUGAAUGCCUUCGGGUU
rnacentral:rRNA from 1 species